rnacentral:lncRNA from 1 species
GGGGACAAGCUUAUUUCUAGUCCACUGCUAACUGGACAUGUAGCCUUGGGAACCCCAGCUUUGAUGGGGAUCUCUUACUAGACUCCCCACCAUCUGUGAACCCUUUACAGCAUGAAAACUGAUACUCAGUUUUAUGGGGGUUUGGCAAAUCUCUGUGAGCAAAAGCCAACCUAAGUGCUCUGCUUACUCUUCUGGCUUCUUGCUUUACAUUUAGGUUUUUGGCCUUAGAGAAUGCCUUCCUUUCCAGACAGCUCACCAACACACAUUUGAAAGAUGAUAAAAGACAUUUUAUCCAGGACUUUUGUUGAUUUCAGUGGUAGAAUCGAUCAGGGUGUCUUACCCCCUGUGCUGUCAGAAAUGGCUAUUUUCUUCACUCCUUUAAGUUGAGGCUUUUGUUCUACUUAAAAUGCAAAUGUCCAUGCUUGAGAUAGUAUGUGAAAGCAGUAUUUCUCGCGGUGUCAUCUUGAAACUAAUUCCAUAAAAGUCAUCUGGUAUGCUUUCUAAAAUACUGAUCAUGGGUCACAUUUCUAACUUCUUGAUACAAAAAUUGGGAUGAAAGGAGGAAGAAUUUUUGUUAAGUGUCCCAAGGAAGAAUCACGUAGUUAUCAGUUGCACCUUGGUAAAAAUUAGUUUCAAGAAUACCUGAUAUCUGGAGGGAAAAAUGCUUCCUGAUAUUGAUGUGAAAAAAAAAAAAGGCUCUUCUCUGUAAGGAUUCCAGUAUUCACUGAUUUCAUUUCCCCGAUUGCUGUAGUGGGGGUGAUGCCAACCAUUCUCACCUACACCUACAGGUUAUUUAGUCUUGAAGACAGUGGUUGACUUGUUUUACUGGAUUUUCUUGAGACUGCCCAAGGAAAUGUGGAGUCUCAUUUUUCAGUUAUAUUUAUAGAGAAACCAUGAAGCCUCAGAAAGGUUAAAUAGCUUGUCCUCCUGGAAAUAGGGAAAAUAAAAAAACUUUAUACUUUCUUAUAAAAAUGUGUUUGAACAUAACUCUAAUUAUUCUCUUAGGAGAAAUUCUUUGAAAUGGAUUUACUAGGAUACAAGGCAUACAUAUUUUAAGACUCCCCAUCCCCUCAUAAAAAGAGCUUUAUUAUCCUGAUUAUAAAAAAUUACUGGAAUAAGCUCUAUGUUAGAUAUCUGCAGGCCCUUCAGAAAGAUUUAAGAAGAUAUUAAGAUUACCCCACUGUUGGAGUUCCUGUCAAGGCUCUGUGGUAACGAAACCAACUUGUAUUCAUGAAGAUGCAGGGAUCAAACCCACAUCCUCAUGGAUACUAGUCCAAUUCAUUACCACUGAACUACAAUGGGAACAACCUAUUGUUAGAUUUCUGUUAGAUCCCAACUCCCUAGAACUCCAUGUUUCCUUAUAAAGCCAUCCACUAAUCUAUCCAUCCAUAGAUUGAUAGUUUAAAUAAGUCUUUGUUCCCUGAAACCUAAAAAAAAUAAAUAACACAAUUAUUUUGAUCAUUUAGACAAAGAGUUACUUAAGGGAGUGGAUUUUUAGUUUUAUAGUCUUAUGUGUAUAUGUGUGUGUGUAAUUUUUUGUUUAAAUAUAUUUAUUUCUAAUUUUAUUGCAAUAUGAUUAGGAGGUUUUCUUUGUGGCUGAGAACAGUAAACAUUUCUGCAUAUGCUAAAGGAACAUGCAUUCUCAAUUUGAAGGUAUAGCACUUUAGCUUAAUGACACAUAUUGUUUACUCUGUAUCUUUAUUUUUUGGUUUAUUAAUCUGUCAGGAACUAAAAAGCAAUCUGUCAAAGUCUUCAUUACUGUACUGUUUCUGACCCCCUUUUCUUCUUAUACUCCAAUUUUCACUUUAUAUAGUUUGAUAUAGUAUUUUAUUUCCUUAAGUGCUUUUUCUAUUUAAUGUCAGUUUGAUGUUACUAUGACCACCUUGCUUUCUUUUGUGUGUAUUUUUUGGUAUGUCUUUGGUCAUCCUUCUAUUUUUAACUUUUCUGUAUCACAUUUUUUUCUUUAAGUUUCUCUUGUUGCAGUGAUAGGGAUUUUAUUGCUAUUUUUAUUGGGACCUAUGAAAAAGUCUAUGGAAUUAAUAGAAUGAGUUUAGACACUAUUUUGGUUUUCUUUGGGCCCAGGGCUUCCCUGGUGUUAAAUGUCAGUCUAUGACUGAGUUCUAGCUAACAGAAAGUGGUGAAGAUCAAGUACAUGAUCCCUUUGCUCUUUCUGGUCUACGUGGUAAUGCUCAGAGCCACCUUUAAACCACAAGUGAAAUAGUGGAGCCUCUGUUAACCUAGGACCUCAAGUAACUGCAAGGGGCAGGGCCCCUCUACUGCCAAGUGGACUCUAUGUAAAAGAGACCCAAACUUCUAUUAUGUAAAUCCACUCAGCUGCUAAUAUCAUGGCAGCUAGUGUGAACUAAUGCUAGAAAUGGUAAAGAAAGUGGGUGCUACCAUAAGAACAAAACUAAAACAUAGAAUACUGUCUUAAUCAUUGGGGAGUGGGCAGCAAGCAAACUGAUAUUGAAAGCUGGAGCCUGUUAUGGCCCAGUGGGUUAAGAACACAGCUAGUAUCCAUGAGGAUGCAGGUUCGAUCCCUGGCCUUGCUCAGUGGGUUAAGGAUCUGGCAUUGCCCUGAGCUGUGGUGUAGGUUGCAGAUGCAGUUUGGAUCUGGCAUUGCUGUGGCUGUGGUGUAGGCUGGCAGCUGCA